rnacentral:rRNA from 1 species
GACGGAGGAUGCAAGCGUUAUCCGGAAUGAUUGGGCGUAAAGCGUCCGCAGGUGGCAGUUCAAGUCUGCUGUCAAAGACCGGGGCUUAACUUCGGAAAGGCAGUGGAAACUGAACAGCUAGAGUAUGGUAGGGGCAGAGGGAAUUCCUGGUGUAGCGGUGAAAUGCGUAGAGAUCAGGAAGAACAUCGGUGGCGAAGGCGCUCUGCUGGACCAUAACUGACACUCAGGGACGAAAACUAGGGGAGCGAAUGGG